GACGAACGCUGGCGGCGUGCCUAAUACAUGCAAGUCGAACGCAGUGGGGACGGGUGAGUAACACGUGGGUAACCUCCCAUCAGAGGGGAUAACACUUGGAAACAGGUGCUAAACCGAUACUGAUGGAUGGACCCGCGGUGCAUUAGCUAGUUGGUGGGGUAACGGCUCACCAAGGCCACGAUGCAUAGCCGAGUGGGGAGGGUGAUCGGCCAAACUGGGAACUGGACCCGGCCCAGACUCCUACGGGGGGCAGCAGUAGGGAAUCUUCGGGAAUGGACGAAAGUCUGACCGAGGAAAGCCGCGUGAGUGAAGACGGCCUUCGGGUUGUAAAGCUCUGUUAAGCGGGACGCGGUACCGGAAUAGAAAGCCACGGCUAACUACGUGCCAGCAGCCGCGGUAAUAC
rnacentral:rRNA from 1 species